CAGUGGCUCACAGCUGCGGAGCUCGGACUUUUGAAGGGUCGUCAUCCUCUUCUGAAAGAUGUUGAUGUUACCAUUAAUCCAUCCAAGGGUCUUACUCUUGUGCGUGAACCAUCUGAUAGAAGUUUUAGAUCAAGCAAGCUCUUGGAUCUUCCUAACUCAGAUGUUUUAGAUGGUUACUCCCAAGAUCCUUCACUUCAAAUAUUUGAAGGAGGAGAUACCGCUUGAUAGAAGUUUUAGAUCAAACAAACUCUUGGAUCUUCCUAACUCAGAUGCUUUAGAUGGUUACUCCCUAGAUCCUUCACUGCAAAUAUUUGAAGGAGGAGAUACCGCUGCGAGAUUUGGAAGAGAUUCAGGAAA
rnacentral:lncRNA from 1 species